GCAAGUUUGUGUGUCUUCUGCCCCCUGGGUUUUUACUUUUUUUUUUUUCUUUUUCAAGAUUUAGGAUUUCUGAAGCUCCUUUCUUCUCAAGAGCCCGGGGGCCUUGCCUAGGAUUUCACCAUGCAUUGAGGGAAGCCACAGAGCGAUUCCCACACUGACCCCAGUGGUGUUCACAGCACCAUCCUGCCCGACCACAUCCGGAUCCACAUCGACUCCACCGGCAUUUAGACCGCCAUCCCACUGUCUCAUCAUAGCCAGAGAUUUGGACCCACAUGGACAACACGGGCAUUCAGACCUCCGUCCCGCCAUCCCAUCACAGGUUAGCAGUCAUAGGGCCUCCAAGAGAAAAAUCCAGAAGGUUAAUGCUAUCUUCUCUGCAGAGAAAUUUCCUCUAUCACAGAUCCCUGGCUCUUUGUUUUGAAAUUGAGUCAAAAUUGUAAAUUCCAUGGUUGAAAGGGGUCUGCAGAGGACCGACUUGUGCUUUGAAACCCUUCAUAAAUACGUCAGUUUGGAAUUUCUCGGCCCCACGGGUUCCUGUGCAUCUGGUGACUCGAGGCAAAGAUAAAAUUUCUGAAGU
rnacentral:lncRNA from 1 species